rnacentral:rRNA from 1 species
AACGAACGCUGGCGGCAUGCCUAACACAUGCAAGUCGAACGAAGUGGCGCACGGGUGCGUAACGCGUGGGAAUCUGCCCUUAGGUUCGGAAUAACAGCUGGAAACGGCUGCUAAUACCGGAUGCCUGAGGAUGAGCCCGCGUUGGAUUAGGUAGUUGGUUGGGUAAAGGCCUACCAAGCCGCCGAUCCAUAGCUGGUCUGAGAGGAUGAUCAGCCACACUGGGACUUAGACACGGCCCAGACACCUACGGAAGGCAGCAGUGGGGAAGAGUGGACAAGGGGCGAAUGCCUGAUCCAGCAAUGCCGCGUGAGUGAUGAAGGCACUAGGGUGGUAAAGCUCUUUUACCCGGGAAGCUGUACCGGGACAAUAAGCCCCGGCUAACUCCGUGCCAGCAGCCGCGGUAAUUC